GAUGAACGCUGGCGGCGUGCCUAAUACAUGCCAGUCGAGCGAACAGACGAGGAGCUUGCUCCUCUGACGUUAGCGGCGGACGGGUGAGUAACACGUGGAUAACCUACCUAUAAGACUGGGAUAACUUCGGGAAACCGGAGCUAAUACCGGAUAAUAUAUUGAACCGCAUGGUUCAAUAGUGAAAGACGGUUUUGCUGUCACUUAUAGAUGGAUCCGCGCCGCAUUAGCUAGUUGGUAAGGUAACGGCUUACCAAGGCAACGAUGCGUAGCCGACCUGAGAGGGUGAUCGGCCACACUGGAACUGAGACACGGUCCAGACUCCUACGGGAGGCAGCAGUAGGGAAUCUUCCGCAAUGGGCGAAAGCUUGACGGAGCAACGCCGCGUGAGUGAUGAAGGUCUUCGGAUCGUAAAACUCUGUUAUUAGGGAAGAACAAAUGUGGAAGUAACUAUGCACGUCUUGACGGUACCUAAUCAGAAAGCCACGGCUAACUACGUG
rnacentral:rRNA from 1 species